AGUGAACGCUGGCGGUAGGCCUAACACAUGCAAGUCGAACGGCAGCACAGUAAGAGCUUGCUCUUACGGGUGGCGAGUGGCGGACGGGUGAGGAAUACAUCGGAAUCUACUUUUUCGUGGGGGAUAACGUAGGGAAACUUACGCUAAUACCGCAUACGACCUACGGGUGAAAGCAGGGGAUCUUCGGACCUUGCGCGAGUGAAUGAGCCGAUGUCGGAUUAGCUAGUGGGGGGGGUAAAGGCCCACCAAGGCGACGAUCCGUAGCUGGUCUGAGAGGAUGAUCAGCCACACUGGAACUGAGACACGGUCCAGACUCCUACGGGAGGCAGCAGUGGGGAAUAUUGGACAAUGGGCGCAAGCCUGAUCCAGCCAUACCGCGUGGGUGAAGAAGGCCUUCGGGUUGUAAAGCCCUUUUGUUGGGAAAGAAAAGCAGCAGGUUAAUACCCCGCUGUUCUGACGGUACCCAAAGAAUAAGCACCGGCUAACUUCGUG
rnacentral:rRNA from 1 species